GAGCCUGAGAAACGGCUACCACAUCCAAGGAUGGCAGCAGGCGCGCAAAUUACCCAAUCCCGACACGGGGAGGUAGUGACAAUAAAUAACAAUACGGGGUUCUUUAGGAUCUCGUAAUUGGAAUGAGUACAAUUUAAAUCUCUUAACGAGGAACAAUUGGAGGGCAAGUCUGGUGCCAGCAGCCGCGGUAAUUCCAGCUCCAAUAGCGUAUAUUAAAGUUGUUGCAGUUAAAAAGCUCGUAGUUGAAUUUCGGGGUUAGUAGGUUGGUCAUGCCUCUGGUAUGUACUGGUCUCACUGAUUCCUCCUUCCUUAUGAACCGUAAUGCCAUUAAUUUGGUGUUGCGGGGAAUUUGGACUGUUACUUUGAAGAAAUUAGAGUGUUUAAAGCAAGCUAACGCUUGAAUACAUUAGCAUGGAAUAAUGAAAUAGGACGUUCGAUCUUAUUUUGUUGGUUUCUAGGAUUGACGUAAUGAUUAAUAGGGAUAGUUGGGGGCAUUAGUAUUCAAUUGUCAGAGGUGAAAUUCUUGGAUUUAUUGAAGACUAACUACUGCGAAAGCAUUUGCCAAGGAUGUUUUCAUUAAUCAAGAACAAAAGUUAGGGGAUCGAAGACGAUCAGAUACCGUCGUAGUCUUAACCAUAAACUAUGCCGACUAGGGAUCGGAUGAUGUUAAUUUUUUAAUGACUCAUUCGGCGCCUUACG
rnacentral:rRNA from 1 species